UACGGGGGGGGCAAGCGUUGUUCGGAAUUACUGGGCGUAAAGGGUUCGUAGGCGGUUCGGCAAGUCGGGAGUGAAAUCUCUGGGCUUAACCCAGAGGCUGCUUCCGAAACUGCUGUGCUUGAGUGUGGGAGAGGCGCGUGGAAUUGCAGGUGUAGCGGUGAAAUGCGCAGAUAUCGGGAGGAACACCUAUGGCGAAGGCAGCUCGCUGGGACGUUACUGACGCUGAGACGCGAAAGCGUGGGGAGCAAACAGG
rnacentral:rRNA from 1 species